GGCAACAUCAGCACUGAGCAGGGGCUGUCUGACUAUAGAGCCCAAGGUCUUAACCAUUGCACUCAUCCAAGGAAGAAGACUAGGAUAAGAGUCAGAGAGGAUCAGAAGCUAAACGCUCUGCUUCAUGGAAUGUCACCUGGAAGGCAGUGCAGCAACCUGAGGAGAGCAAGCCUCAGCCUCAGCCUCAGAGCCUCUAGCUGCAGCAUGGACAAGAGACGACAGUGACACUGAGCACCUACUGCUGCUCUCAUCUCCCGCAUGCGGUUUUAGGCAGUGAAGACUACAUGGGCAUGAAAAGCACUUAGAAUAUCAGCUGGCACCUAUAAUGGAGAGCUGACCACUCACUAUUACAUCACCUGAUGAAUUCCAUCCACCUAGCCCAUCUGCGGGGGACAGAAGGGAAUUUCAAAGCAAUUUCACUUUUCUCAGAAAUGUUUAAUUUUUCAUUACAUGAACCAUCCGAACGUGUGUUAUAAUUAGCAUUGUUUGUUAAGACAGCAAGAUAGAGAUACAACUGAACAGCAAAA